CCUACGGGAGGCAGCAGUGAGGAAUAUUGGUCAAUGGGCGCGAGCCUGAACCAGCCAAGUAGCGUGAAGGAUGACUGCCCUACGGGUUGUAAACUUCUUUUAUAAGGGAAUAAAGUUCAGCACGUGUGCUGUUUUGUGUGUACCUUAUGAAUAAGGAUCGGCUAACUCCGUGCCAGCAGCCGCGGUAAUACGGAGGAUCCGAGCGUUAUCCGGAUUUAUUGGGUUUAAAGGGAGCGUAGGUGGGUGGUUAAGUCAGUUGUGAAAGUUUGCGGCUGAACCGUAAAAUUGCAGUUGAUACUGGGAGCCUUGAGUGCAGGAGAGGUAGGCGGAAUGCGUGGUGUAGCGGUGAAAUGCUUAGAUAUCACGAAGAACUCCGAUUGCGAAGGCAGCCUACUGGACUGCAACUGACGCUGAUGCUCGAAAGUGUGGGUAUCAAACAGGAUUAGAUACCCGAGUAGUC
rnacentral:rRNA from 1 species